GCCUAGCUGGCUUAGUUGGUGGAGCAUGUGACUCUUGACCUUGGGGUUGUGGGUUCAAGCCCCACACUGGGUG
rnacentral:tRNA from 1 species